UACGUAGGUGGCAAGCGUUGUCCGGAAUUAUUGGGCGUAAAGCGCGCGCAGGCGGUCUCUUAAGUCUGAUGUGAAAGCCCACGGCUCAACCGUGGAGGGUCAUUGGGAACUGGGAGACUUGAGUGCAGAAGAGAAGAGCGGAAUUCCACGUGUAGCGGUGAAAUGCGUAGAGAUGUGGAGGAACACCAGUGGCGAAGGCGGCUCUUUGGUCUGUAACUGACGCUGAGGCGCGAAAGCGUGGGGAGCGAACAGG
rnacentral:rRNA from 1 species